rnacentral:rRNA from 1 species
CCUACGGGGGGCUGCAGUGGGGAAUAUUGGACAAUGGGCGAAAGCCUGAUCCAGCCAUGCCGCGUGUGUGAAGAAGGCCUUCGGGUUGUAAAGCACUUUCAGUGGGGAAGAAAGCCUUGGGGCUAAUACCCUCGAGGAAGGACAUCACCCACAGAAGAAGCACCGGCUAACUCCGUGCCAGCAGCCGCGGUAAUACGGAGGGUGCGAGCGUUAAUCGGAAUUACUGGGCAUAAAGCGCGCGUAGGCGGUCUGAUAAGCCGGUUGUGAAAGCCCCGGGCUCAACCUGGGAACGGCAUCCGGAACUGUCAGGCUAGAGUGCAGGAGAGGAAGGUAGAAUUCCCGGUGUAGCGGUGAAAUGCGUAGAGAUCGGGAGGAAUACCAGUGGCGAAGGCGGCCUUCUGGACUGACACUGACGCUGAGGUGCGAAAGCGUGGGUAGCAAACAGGAUUAGAUACCCGAGUAGUC